AAUGAACGCUGGCGGCGUGGUUAAGACAUGCAAGUCGAACGGUUUUUAUUGAAGGGCAACCGGAUAUAAAAGCAGUGGCGAACGGGUGCGUAACACGUGAACAAUCUACCUCGAAGUGGGGAAUAGCUCGCCGAAAGGCGAAUUAAUACCGCAUGUGGUGGUCUCUCGCAUGAGAGGCUUACUAAAGUCAGGGACCGCAAGGCCUGACGCUACGAGAGGAGUUCGCGGCCUAUCAGCUAGUUGGCGAGGUAACGGCUCACCAAGGCAAAGACGGGUAGCUGGUCUGAGAGGAUGAUCAGCCACACUGGAACUAAGACACGGUCCAGACACCUUCGGGUGGCAGCAGUGUCGAAUCAUUCACAAUGGGCGAAAGCCUGAUGGUGCGACGCCGCGUGAGGGAUGAAGGUCUUCGGAUUGUAAACCUCUGUCACUGGGGAAGAAACGCUUUGAGUUAAUAGUUCAAAGCCUGACUUAACCCGGAGAGGAAGCAGUGGCUAACUCUGUGCCAGCAGCCGCGGUAAGAC
rnacentral:rRNA from 1 species